CAAUAGAAAGGAAAAGGAAAAGAAAAAUGGCUUGGGAACUUAGGCAAAAUCGUCCCUUUGAGAGAAAAAGAAAGGAAAGAAAUAGCUUUAUAAGUUCCACCCACAUGGUAGAAAGAAAAAAGAAGAAAGGAGAAAGUUAAGGGGAGGCUCAGUUUUGAAGAAAACCUAAGGCAACCAUGAAGAUUUCCUUCCCUUUACCUUGUUGAGAAUUGAUAUUUCACCAUCCAAAAAGAGAUUUGAAACUUGGAAGAGGAUGUGUGGCUCGGUUUUGUGAUUCAAGCAAGGAAAAGCAAAGAAAAGCUUGAUUGGAGAGGACUUAUUGACAUGCAAGUCAUCAAACUCUUGGAUGCAUGAUGGAUUCAAAGUGAAAGAGAAAAGCUUGAUGAUUAAAGCUUUGGAAGGAUAUUGAGGUUGCACGCAAGAUCCAAGCCAUCACAAAGGUAAGGCAUGCAAUGUGAUAUGAUUGUGUGAUGCCUUGAGUACGGCUAGGAAACAACAAUGCUAGUUGAAAGUUUGAAAAAUGAAAUUGUUAACAUAUGUUGUUUUGAAACAUUUAAAAGGUUAAGAAUGUUGGUGUAACAUGAAUGGAAAUUGAUGUUGUGCUUAGUGGCAGCAUGUUAAAUGUGAAUAAUGGUGCAUAUAAGCUUAGAAAUUACUUGGUGAAAUCGAAUUUAUGGUUGCUGCCAUAUAUGUGAUUAAUAGUAUGAAAAUAAUAGUUUGAACGUGAUAAGUGUCAUUAGAAAGAUUGAUAUGGGCAUUUGAGGUCAUAAACAAAUUGUUGGAUUUAUGUAAUUCAAAGUUUACGCUAAGGAUUAAGUGUAAA